AUCCUAUGUGCUCAUACAAACCCUAAUGCUUGGAUCUAGGUUUCUCUAUUGUACAUGCUUUGGAUCCAAGACUAACAAACUUAGAUCUAACGUAUUAUUAACUGAAUUAGGGUUUAUAGAAUUACCUUUGAUUGUUAUAUAGCAAUAACAAUCAAUUCCUUGCUUGGAUUGGCCUUAGAAAGCUUAGUGCCUCAAGUGCUGCACCUCUAAUGGAGUCACAAACACCUUAUGCAACUUGGAUGAAGAGGAGAAGAGAGGGGAGGCACCAAAAACGGCUGGAAACCCUAGAGAAUCAGUUGUCCACGUUUUUGGAGCCUAAGGGGUCUUUUAUAUACUUGUGUGGGCUGCUAGGGUUUCAGUCAAAACCCUAAUGGACAGCUUAAACUCUAAGCAGCCCAUGGAACCUUCUGGAUAAGGCUAUGGACGAAAAUAUGAUGGGCUUCCAUCAUAAUUUCGUUCACCCCUUAUUCCUUUAGUAUUCCUUAGCCCAAUAACUCAAUUAUCCAAUAAUUGCAGUCCAGUCCCCUAAAUUUAAUUAAUCUCUUUUAGCCACAAAAUUAAUUAUCAAUUAAUUCUUGACUAAUAUUAAUUAAACAAUAUGAUUUCUCCUUUAAUAUAUUAUUCUCAUAAUAUAUUAAUAAAUCAUAUUUAAACCUUUCUCUCCUUAAAUCAUCCUACAUAUUGCUAUGGUGAAGGCAACCCAAAAGGACCAUGCUCAUAAUCGGGUCAAGUACAUACCAAAAUAGUUAUGGACUUAGACACUAAUCCAACAGUCUCCCACUUGGAUAAGUCUAAUAACUAUUUUCCGUAUGACUUCAGAACCUGAUCAGCAAUCGUAGCUUUCAAAAGCCGCUGUCAACUCUGAUCUUAUCAGAUAGCGUGUCCUCUAGAUAAGGGAUUAUAUAUUCCUCCAUUCUCAAGAUAUCGUAUAGACAAAAGACAUGAAUUUCAAUCAUUCUCUCUAUACUGUUUCCCGACUUCCGAUUUAUGACGACUGAUAACAGACUACAAUUGAACACAUCAACUUAGUCCCGGCUUGGCCAAGCGCUUAGGUGUCAUCACUAAAUCAUCGAGAGGCCCACAGAUAUCGCUUUUAUCCCACUUUGGGUAAAAGGAAUGGAUAAACUUCGACUCAAAUGCUCGCUUGCAUUUACUGAUCGAAUCACACACAACAAUAAGUUUUAUAACACCAAGUUACUGGUGCGUUUACUUAUUAUCAAUGUGCAACCGACCAACAAAUAACAACUCACACGUCUCGGUUUCAAGAAUAUACAAUAUUAUCGUCUCACUAAUCACUCGUGAUAAAACCAUGAAGUGAUCCAAGUGAGCGUGGGUUUAAUCCAAUACUCUAAUCUUAUCAAAGCACUCAUGAACUCUGCAGCAAACUUGUGCUAUGUCUAAACACUUCAGACAAUCUACAGACAGAUUCAUGACAGUCUUUAUUCAUACCUACUCCCAACGUAUGACCGACUGUGGAUGUUUGAAUAACCUAGUUAUUCUGGAAGUCAAAACAUGCAAAUUGAAACAUAACAAUAAUACUUAAUCCUAUAUGGCCUCAAACUUGUGAGAGUAAAUAAAACACUUCUAUUUAACCACCAUAUUGAUUACUCAUUAUUAUCGUUUACUGUUUCAGAAAAUCAACUUAUUACUCAAAUUACAACAAUAGCUGUCCCAUGCAUAAAGCAUGCACACUAUGUUUCCUAUGGUCCUUACUUUGUGAAAUAGAUCAAUUGAAAAACCUUUUCAAUGAUGCUCAUUUCACAAUUCCCAAUCCUUAUCAUUAGUGUAAGAACACAAGGUUCUUUGCUACUAUUAGAAUAUGCUAGAUUCUAACAUCUUAUGCAACGAUCCUUUCAUAAAGUCAUAGCACAAAAGUCACCAAGACUUGGCUAAUGAAAUUAUGAAGUACUCUAUCGGACAUUGUUACAAGACAAUUCCAUAGACGUGAAGUCUCACAUUCAAAGUACAUUCAUUUGAACAUCCUUCCUGCAUAAAAGUUUCUAAUCUAGGCAUAGAAUCUCAAUAUCCAACUCCCAAUAUGGAAACAUUUCCACAUUUGCCAUAUGACAACUCAUUCUUAAUAGAAUCUUAUCUAUUCAUAAUAAUGUCGAUAUGGUCCAUCCAAUACCAUACUUCCAACUACUCACAAGCGACCAAUCCUCAGCGAACUUUGGAUCGUCCUUUGAUAGUUGUUUAAUUAUUUUAGUCAAAACCAAUUCUAGUCCUUUUUCCCUCUUAAUGCGCUAGACAUUUGGAAAAUUUUAGAAUGGUAAAAUAUUAUAGCAUUUGCAAUCGAUCCUAUACCCGAAGCGUAUGGGACACGAUGCAUAAUGUCUUACAUAAAGAUAUGAUACUUUACCAAUCUUUUGCCAUAAUAUUUUAUGUGUCAUGUUCUCACAAUUCGAACUAUGAAGAGGGAUGCCGUAAUCAUAAUCGAAUUUUAAGAACACACAAUGUAUCCUUUGACUGAAAAUAUUAAAAUUUCUCAAUCUAAGCUUUAGAUUUUGAAACGAAGUAUAAUAUUCUCUCCCUUAAUUAUAUUAAAACAACUUUUCAACCCAUGCAACUUUGCAAAUUGAAUCUUUGUUUUUCUAUAAUUAAUAUUGCUAACUUGCAAUACUCGCCAUAAUAAUCAUACAAGCAUAACACUUAUGCUCCCACUAUCAUGAUGAUUAUUAUCAUAUAAGCAUAACACUUAUGCUCCCACUAGCUUUGACAUGUAUUCAGAAAACAAAUGAACUUUCAGAAAACAAUGCCUAUUGAAUUUCUGAAAUUCAUAUUUCUAAUACCAGAUGCUUCGAUAAGCCUUUAUCUAGGCUUCUUAACCUUAUACACCUUUGUCUUAGAUAGCUCAUAUGUGUGUUUAAACAAUUCAGAACUUAUGUUACUAAGUUCCAAAUGUUGAAACUAAUUGCCAAAUCUCAUAAUUCGAACUAUGGAAAGGGAUGUCGUAACCAUAAUCGAAUUUUGAGAAUACAAUUUUCACAAUCGCUAUCUUCUUAAAAUCUCUUUUAGUGAAAGCAUUUCCUCACAGUCAUUUUCAUGAAGGAGGGAAUCUUAUGACACUUAGAUUUUAUGGUGUAUGAGUUCCUAUCCAUGUGAAUUUGCCAAAACCAAGGUUUGCGACAAAUCCAAACUCAUAUGGACUGAACUUUCUUAAUCUUGAUUUCUUGCCUUAUGGUAACACGAGUGCCCACCAUGUCUUCCAAGUAGUUUAGUAACUUGUCCUUACAUAUCAAUGUACUUUCCAUCGACUAAGGCUCUAGUAUGCAUUCAAAUGAGAACUCAUAGAACUCACAUACGCAAUUAACUCAAUUGGAAUGGCACAAAAACAAAAUAAUGUCAGCACGAUAGGUUGCAAACCUCAAGUCGUGUGCUAGUGAUGAUCGAUAAGGUAUAUUCUUGAUUUGUUCUUGAAACCUUUCAAGACCAUUAAGACUCCCACUGACUCCUUGACAUAUAAGAUUCUCUUGUCAAGAAACAUUUCUUGACAAAGCAAAUAUUCAAGAGUUAGUGUAGUUCUUAUCAAGACAAAACACUUCACAAAUUGGUCCUAGUUGGUCUUUGUCUUAUCCAAGACAUCACAACUUACCAAUUUCUAAUGUGCAAGAAUAAGAAAACUUUUCCAAAUUCCACAUUUGAUGAGUGUUAUAAACCUACUUAAGACUUGUCACUCAAUGUCACAAUCUUGGAGUAUGACUCUAAGACUUGAUAUUGGAACGAAGUAUGAUUGACUCUUUGAUUUAACCAUUUCUACAAUUCUCGAUUCCUCUUCUUAGACAUGCAAAUGCACUAAGACUCACUUAGAGGAUCAAUUGAGAUAUGGUUCUUAAUCAUUAAGACUUCAUCAUAAAACACAAUAAAAGGUACUCUCCCUUCUUCUUAGAAUGGAGAAACUUUUAUCUUUCUGCCUUCUUGAUUCUUCUUAUUCGUUCUGCUAUUGAUUGAAACUAUUUCAGUUAACUCAGAAUUAUACUCAAUCUUAUAAGUAUAACCAUAUUUACUAAACUUUAGUAAAUCAUGACGAAUAUCUUUGUCACUCUUGUGGUAGACUUGAUCAACGUACGACCUAGUGUACUCGAUCUCCUAGUCCUUCAAUUGACACUUUGUCAAAGAAUUAGUCUAAAUUUCCCAAAUGUGAAAGUUUUUCAUUCAUCAUACAAUACACAUUGCAUGAUUCCAAGUUUCUGUCCAAUUGAAACUUGGGCGAUGAGAAACUCUCCCUAUUUGGUAAACUUUUGAUAUUUCCACAAAUAACAUAAUUAAGAAUCAAAUCCAUUAUUGCUAAUAAUAGAAACAUUCAAACAUCAAUUUUUCAUACAUGCCAUUGCAAGGAUAAAUAAAUAAGAUAAAAUCAAAAUUCAUUUUAUUGCGGAAAAAUUUUGUCCUUACAAUGCAAUUCAAUUGAAAAACUAUGUUAUUACAUAUUUCUUAACAAUCUAUUCUAACUCCAAGUAGUAGCUCAAGAAUCCAUUCUUCAAGUAAUGCGAUCGAAAUCCAUUUCUUCAUGAUUAGAUUCAGCUCACUUCUUCCCUCAAGCUUCCUCUCUUUUCUUCGAUCCUACAAAACAUCAAAAUGUAAUCUUAUCACAUCAUGUAUUAAGAAUCUAGAAUAGGAACUCAAAAGAGUUAGAUAAUGGAUUUUACCUGAAGUAGAGCCAUACGUCUUGACUCUCCCAUCUCUUAGAUCUCUCAGGUAGUUAGGGCAACUUCGUCUCCAAUGCCCCUUCUCUUGGCAAUAAAAGCAAAUGGACUCCUUUGGCACAGCACAUCGGACAAUCACAGACUUAGUUCUUUCUGGACUUCCAAUGUUGCCAGUGUCCAUUGAAGUUUGGGAGUUUGAUUCACCAGACAAAUUUGCUUGACCAGCACGCCAAAUCAUUGCUGAUUCAGCAGCUAUAAGCAAAUAGGUGAGAUCAAUUAGGGUCACGUCGUGGUCCAUCAUAUAGUACUCUCUAACGAACUCACUAUAUGAUUCAGGAAGUGACUGAAGAACCCAGUCAACAGCCAACUCACUUGAAAUCUCGACACCCAACAUGCUUAACCUAUCAAUGUGUGACUUCAUCUCUAAGACGUGUGCACACACAGGUUUCCCAUCUUCGUGUUUACUUGCCAAAAGGGCUUGAGUGAGCUUGAACUUUUCAAGCCUUUGAACUUGUGGGUCAGGGAGAACAAUUGGAGGAGGUGGAGGAAGUGAAGCAUGACUCUCAUUUCCUUGAUCGUAUCUCGGAACGUCAUCUUCAUUUGGAAAGCUUGUUCCAAAGGAUUUGGGAAGACCAUUGUAAGAUGUAGACAUCUACAAAACGGGAGAAAAUUCAAGUUAAGUUGAUUAGAAUUCUUGAUGCAACACCCAAAUGAAACAUCAAGCUAGGAUCCAACACAAUACUCUACAACCUAGAAGAGGGAUGCCGUAAUCUAGUUGCAGAAUAUUUGAAGGUAGGUAAAUGACGAUUUACCAAUUUCCACCAUGAAAAACGAAAAGGAAGUUUAAGUUUUAAAUGAAUUGAAACUCCUAGAUCUUUUGAGAUUCAUUGAACUUUUCAAUGGCAUGUUUAAUCUCGAUUAUGCCCUACUAUUUGUGACUGGGAUGCCGAGGAUCACAAACAAGGUGUGAAUAACCAUACGAAUCACGUGGUGCACCCAAUGCUACUAUCACCUAAUCAAUGUGCCGGUUAGCCACACACGCUCCAUUGAUCUAUGACAAACAUCGAGUCACCCUUCGCUACCAAUGUCAUCCCCAAAUUAGUGUGCCGGUUAACCACACACGCUCCACUAACGUUUGACAAGGGUACGAAGUGUAAUUCCAUGGGUUAGCAUACAAUUUCACAUUUUUCCUAAAGUAACUAUGAUUUGGGAAUUUGAAAAAGCAUUUAGUUACUUUGUACUUCAUUAUACUUAUAAUGGAAGGUUUCUGUCCUAUCCUACCCGUUCGGCUAACGACCCUCCACUAGUCAAGAGUGCGGUGGGUAAGAGUGGAUACCCAUUCAAUCGCCAUUUUAUAGGCAAUUUCCUUAAACACCCCUUAUAGACCAGCUUCGUGAAUGAGGCCUACUAACGGUAAGACUGACUUUUUACUCAUACAUAUAUAAUAUUAGACUUUUAAUGUUAUAUAUAGUAUAGGGUGUAUUUUACACUUUUAAAAUACUAGGUGGUUUAAUUUAGUAAAUUAUACUUUUAAUUUAAUUAAAUGUAAACCAAAACUUUAUGGGUUUAUUAAAUCACUUUUAAUUAUACACUUUAAUUAAUUAAUAAAACCAUAAGGGUGUGAUUUGAACUUUUCAAAUUACUAGGGUUUUAGAAUUUAACAUUUCAAAAUUAAACUUUUAAUCAACUUUUAAAUUCCAAAACUUGAGGGCAAGUUUUGAAACAUUUCAAAACAUUAGGGAUCAAAUAACAAAUAAUUCAAAUUAAACAAUUAAUUUCAUAAUUAUCUAUAUUUGACCUAAUCUUAUUUUAGUCAUUAGAUAAUUACCAAAUAAUUUGAAAUAAUCCAUAUUUAUCAUAUAAACAACCAAUAUUUAAAAGAUUUGAAAUUAUCUAUUGUUUUGGCAAGGAUAAUCACUAAUUUAAGAUAAAAAUCGGAUUUUAACUUCAAAAAACGAAUUAGGUAUCAAAUCCAAGUCAAAACAGCAGCAAAAACCCGGAAUUCCCUCUGUCUGACCCCUGGACUCGCCGAGUCAGGGACUGGACUCGCCGAGUCAGGGACAGACUCGCCGAGUUCAUCCACUGACUCGCCGAGUCAGGUCGGGCAGAGGCCAAAAAUCGAUUUUUCAGCAAAUAAAGCAGUUAAGCAUCACAUACAACUGAAACCAAUCAAGGCUCUGAUACCACUGAUGGGUUUUAUGCAUAAGAACAAUCCUAUGUGCUCAUACAAACCCUAAUGCUUGGAUCUAGGUUUCUCUAUUGUACAUGCUUUGGAUCCAAGACUAACAAACUUAGAUCUAACAUAUUAUAAAUUGAAUUAGGGUUUAUAGAAUUACCUUUGAUUGUUAUAUAGCAAUAACAAUCAAUUCCUUGCUUGGAUUGGCCUUAGAAAGCUUAGUGCCUCAAGUGCUGCACCUCUAAUGGAGUCACAAACACCUUAUGCAACUUGGAUGAAGAGGAGAAGAAAGGGGAGGCACCAAAAACGGCUGGAAACCCUAGAGAAUUAGUUGUCCACGUUUUUGGAGCCUAAGGGGUCCUUUAUAUACUUGUGUGGGCUGCUAGGGUUUCAGUCAAAACCCUAAUGGACAGCUUAAACUCUAAGCAGCCCAUGGAACCUUCUGGAUAAGGCUAUGGACGAAAAUAUGAUGGGCUUCCAUCAUAAUUUCGUUCACCCCUUAUUCCUUUAGUAUUCCUUAGCCCAAUAACUCAAUUAUCCAAUAAUUGCAGUCCAGUCCCCUAAGUUUAAUUAAUCUCUUUUAGCCACAAAAUUAAUUAACAAUUAAUUCUUGACUAAUAUUAAUUAAACAAUAUGAUUUCUCCUUUAAUAUAUUAUUCUCAUA
rnacentral:lncRNA from 1 species